CAGAUACCUGAAUCAAGGCUGGCAGCUUCCUGACACUGAUGGUUUCAAGCAGGAGCCUAAAGAGAUGUCUUUCUAUUGUCUGUUGGCCAUUUCAGAACUUGGGCAGUGAAAUGGUCAAUUCAUUAGAAAGACCCCCCG
ensembl:snoRNA